CAGAGGGUGCCACCCCCCUCCUCGGUAAAAAAGGACCAACCCAAACAGAACGGUGAUGCAUCAGGCGAGGGCUCGUCAGAGACCAGAACCUUGCCAUCCUCGGAAUCUGACGAGGUUGUACCCAAAAGGAAAAAGAGAAUGUGGAGAUAUAAUCGUGUGUGG